UGCAGUCGAGGGGCAUCGCGGGUGGCAACACCUGGCGGCGACCGGCGAACGGGUGAGUAACGCGUGAGCAACAUGUCCUCAGUCGGGGGAUAAGCGAGGGAAACUUCGUCUAAUACCCCAUAACACUUUCAGGCGCAUGCCUUUAAGUUGAAAGCUUUUUUUGCGACUUUGGUUUGGCUCGCGUGACAUUAGCUAGUCGGUGGGGUAACGGCUCACCGAGGCUACGAUGUCUAGGGGUUCUGAGAGGAAGGCCCCCCACAUUGGGACUGGGACACGGCCCAAACUCCUACGGGAGGCAGCAGUGAGGAAUAUUGGUCAAUGGACGGAAGUCUGAACCAGCCAUGCCGCGUGAAGGAAGACUGCCCUAUGGGUUGUAAACUUCUUUUGCAGCAGAGCAAUAAGGCGUACGCGUACGCCGAUGAGAGUAUGUUGCGAAUAAGCAUCGGCUAACUCCGUGCCAGCAGCCGCGGUAAUACGGAGGAUGCGAGCGUUAUCCGGAUUUAUUGGGUUUAAAGGGUGCGUAGGCUGUUUUGUAAGUCAGCGGUGAAAGACCGGGGCCCAACUCCGGAAGUGCCGUUGAUACUGCAUUGCUAGAGUUCCCCUGCCGUGG
rnacentral:rRNA from 1 species